ACGAACGCUGGCGGCGCGCCUAACACAUGCAAGUCGAACGAGCGAGAGAGAGCUUGCUUUCUCGAGCGAGUGGCGAACGGGUGAGUAACGCGUGAGGAACCUGCCUCAAAGAGGGGGACAACAGUUGGGAACGACUGCUAAUACCGCAUAAGCCCACGGCUCGGCAUCGAGCAGGGGGAAAAGGAGCAAUCCGCUUUGAGAUGGCCUCGCGUCCGAUUAGCUAGUUGGUGGGGUAACGGCCCACCAAGGCGACGAUCGGUAGCCGGACUGAGAGGUUGAACGGCCACAUUGGGACUGAGACACGGCCCAGACUCCUACGGGAGGCAGCAGUGGGGAAUAUUGCACAAUGGGGGAAACCCUGAUGCAGCGACGCCGCGUGGAGGAAGAAGGUCUUCGGAUUGUAAACUCCUGUUGUUGGGGAAGAUAAUGACGGUACCCAACAAGGAAGUGACGGCUAACUACGU
rnacentral:rRNA from 1 species